UGGGGGAUAUUGCACAAUGGGCGAAAGCCUGAUGCAGCGACGCCGCGUGGGGGAUGAAGGCUUUCGGGUUGUAAACCUCUUUCGCUAUCGAACAAGGCCCGCUUAGGGUGGGUUGAGGGUAGGUGGAGAAGAAGCGCCGGCUAACUACGUGCCAGCAGCCGCGGUAAUACGUAGGGCGCGAGCGUUUUCCGGAAUUAUUGGGCGUAAAGGGCUUGUAGGCGGCUUGUUGCGCCUGCUGUGAAAACGCGGGGCUUAACUUCGCGCGUGCAGUGGGUACGGGCAGGCUUGAGUGUGGUAGGGGUGACUGGAAUUCCAGGUGUAGCGGUGGAAUGCGCAGAUAUCUGGAGGAACACCGAUGGCGAAGGCAGGUCACUGGGCCAUUACUGACGCUGAGGAGCGAAAGCAUGGGUAGCGAACAGG
rnacentral:rRNA from 1 species